GGGGCUUUCAGGCAUCUGCCCUAUCAGGCAGGCACAUCUGCUUCUCCACAAGAAGGAAACAAAGCUAGAAGAGAGGGUUAGCUGGCAAAGCCACAAGGUCAAGCCUUGGCCUCUCCUUCCUGACUUCCCGCAUUGACCUGGACUGAGCUACAUGACCUGACUUGUAGCAACUCUGCAUACUGCAAAAGAACUAAAUCAGGAGCCACUAGACCAGAAAAGUGUAUCCGAUCUUCUGGGAAUUGGAGUUACAGAGAAUUGUGAGGCUGCCAUGUUAGUGCUGGGAAUUGAACACAAGUCCUUUGCAAGAAUGUUUGCAUAUGAAUGCAGUACACACAGGGGCAUUGGAGAAGUACACACAGAAGGCAUUGGAGCUCCUGGAUUACUGGCAGUUGUGAGCCAAUUUGUCUGCAAGGAACUCAACUCAGAUACUAGAAGAGGGCAUCGGUUCUGUUACAGAUGGCUGUGAGCCACCAUGUGGUAGCUGGGACUUGAACUCAGGACCUUCGGAAGAACAGACAGUGCUCUUAACCACUGAACCAUCUCUCCAGCCAGGUAUGAUGAUUCCAUGAUAGCCUGUAGUUUCUUCAGUAUUGUGACCAAAAAAAAAAUGUUGGUUCAUUAAUUAUAUCCUUGUUACUUAUACUCUAUUUCCUACAAACCCCAUCCAAACUAAGUCUGAUAGGUCUGAUUUCCUAAGCCGCUCUGCAAUACAUCAACUGUUUGCUACAUCCUUCCUAGCUAUGGACAAUACAGCUCAACUCUCCCAUCUACGUUAGAAUAAACGAUGCAUUUAAGAUAUACCUUGUUCUGACUUCAAUUUGGAGCCAGAGCAAGUAUCUCAAAAUCUGAUCAAGUCACCAAGAGGUAUCAAGGACAACACGCAGGUGGAAUUACGGGAUAGCCAAAAACUGAAUGUGGGAAAACCACAGAAGGAACACUUUGAAUAAAAACAUAAACUGCUAUCACCUUCUACUGUGAAGAUAAAGAAAAACAUUGUGGUAACAUACUUUGAAAAUGAUACUAUACAUGUUCGAUGUUCUUAUUAAUUAGGCAUUUUUCUCAGUGAUGCUUAAAAGUGAAUUUUAAGAGGCAAAUGCAGUGUCCUGUGUCUGGGAAAUUGCUCAAAUACCUAUCACACAAUAGACACUCCACAUAUGUUUAUUUUUUCCUGAGCAAAUAAAUGGUAAACACUUGUUUAGUAUAUGGAGUCUACUUUGGACAGAAAAUAAAAAGCUCUGAAAAAAGUAUAUUAACUAUUUAUCUCCUGUGCUUUAUUUCAGGGGAGUGUGAGUGAAGAGGUACUAAUGACAGAUAGAAAGGAAUUAUUUUCCAUAAAAGCCAUAGAGCAGCGAAAUCACAUAAAGCAAAGCAAGAGUAUUUGAGCUGAAGGACAAAACCAAGCCUAGAAUUAUUGGAAAUUCAAAUUAGUAAGGUACAUAGAGUCCAUCCCUGACUCUUAAGCCAUUAAUGGUCUUGCUAGUAUGAAAAGCCACAGGUUGUACUUUAUAAGGAACAUUUUUCCACCUACGAUGCUUUUGAGGCUGCUGAAUACAACUGCUUUAUCAUUAUAAAGGAUAUAUAGAAAUAUUUAGAGCCCAGUUGAUUUCUCACAGUAGAUUCUUUCUAAAAUGUUCCCCUUUCUUGUCUUAAUACAAAAUAUAUGUGCAUGGUGACCUAUGCUAGUACAAAGGGCUGUUUACUAGCAAAUACUCAGAGCCUUAGAGAAAACAUAUUACUAGGAGGUUGAGCAUGAGUUUAUUAUUUUAGGAGAGAGAUGAAUUAAAAUAACAAUAUAAAAUUCUUGGGCUGCGUUAAUAUAUUUGUAUAUGGAGUGAAAACCCAUUCAUUGAAUGGUUAUAUAGGUUGUUAAGUAAGGAGCCAGUUGUCACCUUUCCUCCCCUCGCCUGCUCUCUAAGUAGGGCCUCAAAACAACCUGUAAUCACAAAUCAAAAGGCACCAGGAUAUAACUCAAAAUAUGAAAACUAUGGGGAAGCCAGAUGAUGAGAGAGCACAAAUAACGAUUGCAGAAACCUGAUUAUCCUUACGACCACUUUAAAAGGUCAAUCUUGGAGCGGCCAGUGUCUCUGCAGAAAUAAACAAGCAUCAGUAACUGAACAAGAGUCUCACUUGACUUUUCCAGACAAACAACUACAGCUAAACCAGAGAAAGAACUGUUUCUUGUUCCUUGAACCUUGGCUUUGGAAAGAAACUUAACAAUUUCCUAGCUCAGAGCCUCCCCUUUCCAUUGGAGGAAAGUGGCAUUCGAGACAUACUCGAUUUGCCCUGAUGGCUGAUCCAGGACCAGCUCAGGAAGCUUCUGAACCUCUGAGCCUACCGCUCAUAUCCACAUCAAAUCCUUCCUUUAAAUAAAAAAUAUAUGUAGUUUUAAUAUAGAAAGUGGAUUGGGAAGAUGUGAAUUCUAGACAGCUAACUGCCUUUGCCUUACUAUGAAUAUUGAUUUUUUUUUACUUGUCAGCUCUCUGUCUUGUCUGUAUCUCUCCAGUUUUUUGUUUGUUUGUUUGUUUGUUUGUUUUAAUUGGCAGUCAAAUGCUCGAUCUCAACAGUGAAAAGCAUGUCAGGAAAAGCUCAGUAAAGUAGCAGAGAGCAGAACAACAGUGAUGUUUCACCUCAAAACUACUGAUUUUCAAAAUUGAAAAUAAAAUAUCCAAAACCUGCUGCCUGUCCCCCUCCUGGCAAUCUUCAGAAGUAGUGCUCAUUCGUCAAAUACCUUUGUAAUUCCCUCUUGCUUGCUUUCCUUCCUCUCC
ensembl:antisense Gm15261 predicted gene 15261